rnacentral:rRNA from 1 species
AUUGAACGCUGGCGGCAUGCCUUACACAUGCAAGUCGAACGGUAACAGGUCUUCGGAUGCUGACGAGUGGCGAACGGGUGAGUAAUACAUCGGAACGUGCCUAGUAGUGGGGGAUAACUACACGAAAGAGUGGCUAAUACCGCAUGAGAUCUACGGAUGAAAGCAGGGGAUCGCAAGACUUUGUGCUACUAGAGCGGCCGGUGGCAGAUUAGGUAGUUGGUGGGAUAAAAGCUUACCAAGCCGACGAUCUGUAGCUGGUCUGAGAGGACGAUUAGCCACACUGGGACUGAGACACGGCCCAGACUCCUACGGGAGGGAGCAGUGGGGAAUUUUGACCAAUGGGCGCAAGCCUGAUCCAGCAAUGCCGCGUGCAGGAUGAAGGCCUUCGGGUUGUAAACUGCUUUUGUACGGAACGAAAAGCCUUGGGUUAAUACCCUGGGGUCAUGACGGUACCGUAAGAAUAAGCACCGGCUAACUACGUGCCAGCAGCCGCCGUAAAAC